UGCAAGCACAUGUGGUUUGGGCAGGAAGCUUCUUACGUUUCAUCAGAAACAAAAGGGCAGAGGGCAGUGGCUCUGAGUGGGGGGCAGAACUGCACUGCAGAAGCUGGAGUCACGUUCUUGGUCCUGUCAGGGGUGGCUGGCUGACGCUGGUGACUCAUUUGUGACUCACAGGUCUACUUUCCCCGUUUGCUACAAGUUUUCAAAUUAGGUCCUGGGAAAAGAUAUAUCAGCUUAUUGACCUGAGAUGCUUUUCUGAAACUCUCCACAACAGGAUUCUCACCUUCCUGUGUUGUUAUUAAAAAAUUUUUAAAACAAAACAACAAAAUGACAUUCCAUUAUCAGAUAUAUCUGAAACCAGUAACGUCCUUGGACUCAUCCUUGAACUCAUCCUUGGACUCUGCCCAGAAUGUGAUAGGACAGUGUGCCAAGAUGCACUGCAUCUAUUACCUCACUGGAUCCUCAUGCAAACUCAGAGGCAGGCAGCAACUCCAUUUAUAGACGAGAAAGAUGAACCCUCCAAAUUAUCUACCCUGGUUUCAAGUAGGCAGUUCACAACUGCACAUCUCCAGGUGAAUCACCUAUUUUCUUCUCUCUGGAUUUCUAUGUGCUAAAUGGGUCACUUAGUUGGACCAAGGGAAAACGAGGACCCAUGCUGUGUUUUUCUAGUACAACCCUGAGCUGCUCUGACAAUGGAAGACCUACUCAUCCUAUAAGGCCAGAAGGUACAUUUAUGUGAGGAUGCUUAGAGGAAGCACACCAGCAUAUAGUUGGAUUCCUAUCAACUGUGUUUACAAGUAAUACCGCGGAAGAAAGAUGUGAAAGUUAGAAUAAUUUUUCCAUCCUCAAGAGUAAAAGAGUAAAAUUUACAUUUGUCAUGUAAAUAUAGGUAGUACCUGUCAUGUAAAUAAAGGUAAUAUGGUGUGGCAGGUUUUCAAACUCUGCUUGAACCAGGAUAGCAUAACUGUUAUAGCAUAAGCUCUGGAGCCUGAGCCUGACAGAUCAGAGAUCAAGACCCUGCUCUGCCCACUAGCUGGGUGACAUUAGGCAUCCAUGUAGCCUUGGGAGAGUCAGAGCAGAGAGCUGAAACCCAAAGGCUUCUGGUUACCACCUCACCCAUUGAGUCAGGGAUACUUACUAUAAGAACUUUGUGUGUUACUUUAAAAUUUAUAAUGUACCCAUUUGUUAUAUUGAUUUCUUAAUGUUAAGUAGUCUCACACUUAAAUGUCAGAAUACAGGGGUUUUAUCUAUAAUGGGAAAAAAGAAAAGAUGAGGAGGGUGGGUAGAAGGGAUGUAAGUGGUUUGACCAGUUCUAUAUCCAGCUGUGUGAGAGGGCCCAGAUACCCAAGGAGUAGAGUGGCUGCUAACCUCAGCUGAAGGAGAGAAAAGCAGGCUGAGUUUCUAGGCCUUGACAGUGAACCAAAGCCUGGAUGCACCUGAGAGGGAGCUUUGGACCUUUUGGAUAUCUGAAUGGAAAAGUUACUCCUUGCAGGCCAUAUUCUCCUUAUGGGCCUAUCUUAUUUCAUCUAUUCUUAACAAUUUCCUGAACAACUGAUCAGUUGGGUAUCAUUGAUAUUGGGAACCUGCAAAAACAAGUGAAAAAAUAAAAAGACUAAAGCCUCUUCUGUAAGGGUUCCCUGACUGAAGCUGAUUGGGAGGGAUAGGUAGUGGGACCAUAAGGAAGUUAUUAUAGAAAGGGAACAGAAGAGCUGAGGACCCUUGACUCCUGUGGCAGAGAUUUUGCUGAAAACUGAAAUGAACUGGAGACAACAAAGCACAUGAAAAUAACUUUCCUGUAAUUAAAAUUAGGAUUUUGUGAAGCCUUGAGUCAGAUUCCUUGCAUCAUUUUUGGGAG